AUCUUAAACCAUCUGUGAUAAGCACUGGAUUUCCCUUUCAUCCAGCUAACCUCCAGCUAUUUGUGUAUGAAGGUACAAUUAGGAAAAAAUAGCAAUAAGGUAAUGAGGGAAGGAGGUGGUGUAGAGAGAAAAACAAAAAGAGGGAAGGAGAAUGGGUUGUGAUGAGUUAGAGUUGUCUGGAUGAAGAAGCCAGUCCUACCAUGCAUAAAGAUGAAAAAAAAGAAGGGGCUCAGAAUCUUCUGGAAAGAUGUGAGAGAAGAAAAAAGAAAGAAUAGAGGAUGGUGAGGUGGAAGGGAAACCAGAAGGGACUCUGGAAGGGUCCAAAUUAUAUGGAAGUGUGGAAGGACCUUUAUUGAAACGAUUCAUGAAGUUCAUGCUCGUGCUGUGAGCUUGCUUUUACUGCCCUGGCAAGAGAGGAGGUGCUCGAAGGACUUUGUCUUGGAAAUCCACUGUGGUUCCCCAGUGGGCUGGCUCUUCACACAGCGUUAAGCCCUGCGUUUCGCUCCCUAGCCUUGUUUCUCUCUGCUUGCUCCCUGUGGUCUCUCAUCUCUUCUCAGCUCUCUCCCACUUAGCCCACCAAGGCCUGUCUAUCCAAGUAGAACAGACUUUCAUUUUCCUUGGGUUCACACUGUGCAUACUGACUAACCCGCUUCCUGCCACUCCAGUGGCCCCUCUCCAGCUCCCAACCCCUCUUAUCUCUAUGGUAACGGAAGACACUACGAUCUCCGGAUUCUGCCUCAGAGAGUUGGUCUGUACAAGCAGACUUUCCUGGGGUAGCUUGUCCUUUUGCAGUUAACCAAGAUGCUGGGGGAGAAGAGCUGCCCCAACAGGAUGGCACACAACAGCCUCCAGAUGUGGGCACUUGGCGAGUCUGAGCUGAAUGUCUCCAUAAAAAUAUGAUGUAAUUAACAGACCUCAGCAGCUGGAACAAUUCAGCACCUCACAUUGAUUUUCCAUGUCUCCUAUUUACUUUCCGUUUUUGAACUGUCUGCCGUGACAGGAAAUCAAAGAAUUAUAAUGGCGUGUGUGAGGGCCAUGAUGCUGGGUCAGCAUUUCCCUGAGAAAUCCUGAGACUAAUCAGUUUAUUAUCACUCAAUCAUCCCUUCUCCUUCCUAAAUUAAAGCUGUCCCCCAAAAGGCUAAGAAAUAGCAAUUUAUUUUGGGAUAUUAAAAAAUCAAUGUACUAUUUUAAAAUAUGAGCGGAGUUAAAAAAAAAAAAAAAAAAGAGUAGGUCCCAAGUAAUGUUAGUUGGAUCUGUUUUCUCCUUCAGGCUUAAUAUGAGGUUGGCAAAGACAUGGGUGUGGAGAGACAGAAGUGCUAUAUUCACCCUUCCCAAGUUUCACGGGCUUGGAAAAGUUACCUGGUGGAACUUGGAGAGGAGUCUUGUUCCAAGUUUUUCCCUGAAAUGAAGAGAAAUAAGUCUCUCCGUUUGUGCUUAUUCACGAACUUUCAUAUGAUGCAGGAUUGGCUUUCUCAUAGUCUGUCACUGCAUUUCCAACCCUUGUCAGGUGGCAGUCAGAAUGUUGGGUUAGUUUCAUUUUGGAUUCCUUAACACUCUGGAGAAAAUUGGCCAAAAACUGAGAUUGUGACAGAGAAAUAGGUCUCCCUCUGAAGUCCGCUAGUCCAGAUUUCUUUUCAAGAUAUGCCUCAGGCUCCUUGCUGUUGCUUUUCUUCAACUUCACUUACCUUGGCAGAUUUCACGUCUUGGUCACAAUGUAGGGAUGCCUUUUUCUUGGUCUUUUUAUUGACUCAAGUAAUAUAACCCCUUCCUAAAUAAUUCGGAAAAUAGAGAAAAGAAAAAGAUUGCUCAUAAUUCUCCCACUUAAGCACAAUAGCUAUUGUUGUUUUGGAGCAAUUACUUUGGGUCAUUUUUAAGUGCCAAGUUUUGAUAGGAUUCUAAGCACAAACACAAACAACUUUGUAUUUUGCUUUUCCACUGAAUGUAUGUCAGAAACAUUUCAGUAUUAUUACUUCAGUAAAUAUCUUUUUAAUUGCUGACUGGGCCACUGAACAUUUGUCAGUCUCCCGUUUUGAUUUUCCAGGUAUCCUAUAGAAAUAGAGACACCAUAUUUAUUUAACUAUUUCCAUAUUUGGGGGCAAUAGAUCAAAUCCAUGUUUUCAUCAUAGUAAGUCCUGUGAUAAGCAUCUUUAUAGUAAGACUUUUCCGCAUAUAAGAUAAUUUCUUUAGGAUAAAUUCCCAGAAAUUACUGGGUCAAAGUGCAUGAAUAUCUUGUGACUCAAUAUUUCCUGUUGCUCUUCAAAACUAGUAUGUCAGUUUGUAAUAUCACCUAAAACGUUUGAGGCAUCAGGCUUGAGAAGGGUCUUUUUUUUCUACUAAAUAGGCAGUACUGAGAGUGCUUUAUGUGUGCAAUUUGAUGAUGUUGACAAAUAUCCCGGAGAUAAACAUUUUGGACUUUAGAGGCGUUCCCCUGUCAAUUGUGUUUAACAUACAGAAGUGACUUCAUUAUAACCGUUUCUUCUACGUGUGCCAUAAAGUAUGAAAUUUUUUGCCUGGCUGUAAUGUUCUAUCUCAUCAAACCUCAUAAAAUGAAUU
rnacentral:lncRNA from 1 species